rnacentral:rRNA from 1 species
AAUCAACGCUGGCGGCGUGCCUCAGACAUGCAAGUCGAACGCGAAAGUUUCCUUCGGGGAACAAGUAGAGUGGCGCACGGGUGAGUAACACGUAGGUAAUCUACCUUUGGAUGGGGAAUAACAACCGGAAACGGUUGCUAAUACCGCAUAAUGCAGCGGCACCUAAUGGUGACAGUUGUUAAAGCGGGGGAUCGAAAGACCUCGCGUCUGAAGAGGAGCCUGCGGCGGAUUAGCAGUUGGUAAGGUAAUGGCUUACCAAGGCUUCGAUCCGUAGCCGGCCUGAGAGGGCGGUCGGCCACACUGACACUGACAUACGGGUCAGACUCCUACGGGAGGCAGCAGUCGGGAAUUUUGGGCAAUGGGCGAAAGCCUGACCCAGCAACGCCGCGUGAAGGAUGAAAUCCCUCGGGAU